AAGGGCACCACAAGAACGCGUGGAGCAUGUGGCUUAAUUUGACUCAACGCGGGAAAUCUUACCGGGUCCGGACACACUGAGGAUUGACAGGUAUUAUUGUAUCUAUCUAUUAAUGAUAGAUACAUGUUAAAUAUGCUAGUCCUUUCAUGAUUAUGUGAUAGGUGGUGCAUGGCCGUUCUUAGUUCGUGGAGUGAUCUGUCUGCUUAAUUGCGUUUCACUAAGGGCCUAUAAAUUUACGUAUGUUGCGGCGCUUUGACCCCUCUUAAUUGAGCGCGUGUCUUUGUCUGCUUAGCUCAUACAAUUAGGUCCUGAAAGCAACGAACGUGACC
rnacentral:rRNA from 2 species